AUCAUAUCCCCUUCGUCCCAAAAUUCUUGUCUUAGAUUUGUCUAAAUAUGGAUGUAUCAAGUCACGUUUUAGUAUUAGAUACAUCUGUAUCUAGACUAAUCUAAGACAAGAAUUUUGGGAUGUAGGGAGUAUUAU
rnacentral:pre_miRNA from 1 species